UACGUAGUGAGCAAGCGUUGUUCGGAUUUACUGGGCGUAAAGGGCGCGUAGGCGGCAGAUCAAGUCAGCUGUGAAAUCUCCGAGCUUAACUCGGAACUGUCAGCUGAUACUGUUUUGCUAGAGUGCGGAAGGGGCAAUCGGAAUUCUUGGUGUAGCGGUGAAAUGCGUAGAUAUCAAGAGGAACACCUGAGGUGAAGACGGGUUGCUGGGCCGACACUGACGCUGAGUGCGCGAAAGCCAGGGGAGCAAACGGG
rnacentral:rRNA from 1 species